AAGAAAGAGUCUGAAGUCGGCUUCGAUCCUCUCCGCCGACGGGCUUCCGUUGCAGCCGUAUUCCUCGAUCAGAAGGCAGAGGCAAAAAGACGAGUCGAGAUAUCGUUUCAGUCGCCACUCCACCCGUUGGCGGUUCGAUUGUUGCUCGACCACACUCUCUUCUUCCCUUCUUCAUCUCUCUCUCGAUCUGACUCUUAUUGAUUUCCUAUAGGAAGUGCAAGGGAUGUUUGUAUCUAUUUUGCAUUAUUCCUCACUUUGAACCGACUAAAACCGUGGGGACGCUGUAUUUUCUGAUGCACUUCCUAAUCUUCCUUAUGUUUAUUUUCUAUGUUCUCCGUCUGAGUCGGUCAAAUCUGUUGUUCUGCAUCGUCAGAUAUCAAACUUUUGCCGAUUUCUUGUCUUAAUUAACCGAUCAAUGAUUUCCUAUA